rnacentral:SRP_RNA from 1 species
GCCGGGCACAGUGGCGCGUGCCUGUAAUCCCAGCUACCCAGGAGGCUGAGGCAAGAGGAUAGCUUGAGUCCAGGAGUUCUGGGCUGUAUGCUGAUCGAAUGUCCACACCAAGUUCGGCAUCAGUAGGGUGAUCUCCUGGGAACAAGGGACCACCAGGUUGCCUAAGGAGGGGUGAAUCAGCCCAGGUCCAAAACAGAGCAGGUCAAAACUCCUGUGCCAAUCAGAGACCUUCUGAAUAUAGCAGGCACAUGUGCACCCAUGACAU